CUCAAUCUGGGUAGACACCAUCUAAUCAGCUACCAGCAAGGCAAAAAAAAAGCAGGCAGGAGAAGAUGGAAGAGCAGACUUGCUGAGACUUCUGGCCUUCAUCUUUCUCUUGUGCUAGAUGCUUCCUGCCCUUGAACAUCAGACUCCAAGUUCUUCAGCUUUUGGAAUCUUGGACUUAUAUCGGUAAUUUGCCAGAGACCCUUGGGCCUUUGGCCACAGACUGAAGGCUGCACUGUUGGCUUCCCUAUUUUUGAGGUUUUGGGACUCGCACUGAUCCACCACUGGCUUCCUUGGCUCCUCAACUUGCAGCCGGCCUAUCAUGGGACUUACCUAGUGAUCAUAUACUCAAUCUCUAGGAAACCCAAUUGACAAGUUUCUGGCAAUUCAACACCAUGUAGUAUCGCACAUCAGAAAUCGGAAUGCUGUGACCUCUGAGAUAAUUCACCCACCGGAGUCAGACUGCUGAAGAACACUGGAUGGGUGGAAAAGGAACAUCUCAAGCAGGAGAGAAGGAACUGAGUCAAGAAAGGGCUGCAUCUGGUGAACAUGUCCCUCCCAGUGAUGGAACUCAGGGCUGCUGCAGCCAAGAGUCUAUAACAGUGGAGACGCCUUGAGCAAAGCCCCAGAGCCCUCGAGCUGCCUGUUCCCCUCCUCUGACAUGAUGGGUAAUCUGAUGGAAGCUCUGAGAGGCACUGCCUAGAAUUAAGCCCUAUGUGUAAACGAAGCAACGAAGAAAGAACAUGUGCUAUCAAAUAUGAUUCAUGAUUCAAAUAUAUUUUAAUAUCUUAUUCUUUUCGCACUCUGAGAAACUAUUCUGAUAAUGUGAUUGUUUUCUAAAGGAGUGU
rnacentral:lncRNA from 1 species